GACCGACUAAUCGACAUUGCUAUUUGAAUUAAUAAAAGAAGUUCUGUAGGUACCCAGGAAAGAAAGCAAGCAAGCAAUGGGGUUUCGAUUUGGAACAACACUCUUCUUAUGUUUUCUCUUUUUUUCUUCUGCUACAUUAUGUUAUGCUCGUCAUAUCACUGUGUUCUCAGAGAACAAGAAAUUAGUGUCAACAGAAAUAAACUCAUUUAACGCGAACGAUUAUGAAGAACCAGGACCGAAUCCCGGUCAUAAUCUAUCGCCACCUCCCCCUGCGUUGGAUCAGAUGAAUUCAGUUUAUAAAAAUGAAUGAUGAAGAAAAUGAUCCACCACUGUCUCCUGCUUAAUGGGAAUUACGAUAAGUUUAUAUAUUAUAAUCUAUAGAUAUUUGUAUUUUAAUUGCUUUAUUGUAAUUUUCUAAUGUUUUGAAUUUACGUUAUCAUCAACCUGCCUGGUGAGAAAUAUUUUAUGUACUUCAAUUGAAAGAUAAAUAAAAAUACUCUGUGAUCCA